rnacentral:rRNA from 1 species
ACUCAAAUGAAUUGACGGGGGACCGCACAAGCAGCGGAGCGUGUGGUUUAAUUCGAGGCUACACGAAGAACCUUACCUAGGUUUGACAUCUUACUGAAGACUGCGUGAAAGCGUGGUUGCUCCGCAAGGGGCAGUAGGACAGGUGCUGCAUGGCUGUCGUCAGCUCGUGCCGUGAGGUGUUCGGUUAAGUCCGCAAACGAGCGCAACCCUCGGUGCCAGUUACAAGUGUCUGGCGCGACUGCCCGUGGCAAACGGGAGGAAGGUGGGGAUGACGUCAAGUCAGCAUGGCCUUUAUAUCUAGGGCUACACACACGCUACAAUGGCGCGUACAAUGGGCUGCGAACCUGCGAAGGGGAGCCAAUCCUAAAAAGCGCGUCUCAGUUCAGAUUGCAGGCUGCAACCCGCCUGCAUGAAGUUGGAGUUGCUAGUAACCGCGCGUCAGCAGAGUGCGGUGAAUACGUUCCCGGUCCUUGUACACACCGCCCGU